rnacentral:lncRNA from 1 species
AUUAUUAAUCUAUUAUUAAAAUAUAUACAUAUAUUUAACCCUGGGCACAGAAAGAUACUUCAAACAGUUAUGUAAAGAUGAAAUUAUAUGUCCAAGCAAUUCCUUCACCAAUAGAUGGACAAAAAACAAAUGCUUUUGAAAAUUGCAGUUUAACUGUCACUGUAUAACACACUUUUUUGUCCUUGGGUAGCAACUGUUAUUUCCUAUUUGUUUCUCCCUAGAAAGUAUAAAAAAUGAUGGCUAAUAUUUCCUUCAAACUUUGCUUUUGUUACAUUUAUUCAAACCCCAAAGAAUCCGUCUCGACACAUGGCUAGGAUGCUCCCCCAUUACUUGAGCUCGUGAUCAGAGAUGCACAUAUUGUUAGCCACUAAGAGACAUGCUCAAGUGGUUAAGGUCAAGCAACUGACGGGCAAAUUUGUGGUAUUGAGCAGAAUAUUUGCUAUUACGAUAUUUCUGCUUCAGCAACCUAACAUUGAAUCUGUCUGAAAUGUAAUGGAAAAUAGGUCAGUCUCAAAACAUUGAUGUCCAGGUCACAAAAGCAAAGUUUGAAGGGAAUAGUGGUCUUUUCCUUUGAUAUCAAUAUAGAAGCAAAUAGGAAACAACAUUUACUACCAAAGACGAAAUAAACAAAUAAAUAAGUAUUUUGUUAUACAAUGUUAUAAUGUUGAAAUAUAUUGCUUUUACUUUUACUGCGAGUAAUCAUUUUCAAGUAAAAAGAAUAUUCGAUUUCAUCAAGAAAACCUUGUGUGUGCACAUAUUUUUUCCUUUGUAUGUUAGUUGUAAAGCAAGUGUGCAUGCGUGCUGGCGCGCUGAUUAGAGAAAACGUUUGUAGGAACCAGAAUAAACAUCUCAAGAUGUUUUUAUCUCGAUGUUCUAAUGAAUCUGCUAAUCCGCUAACCCAUCUAAAUUUAAUAAAAGUAUAAUUUCAGCAAAAAUGAGCCAAGAGGAAUAACUCAGAGUGACCAGCGGCAUGUGUAUGAACAGCAUAGACAAAUACUGGUAAGUUAAAUACCAUACAACAUAAAUUCUUGAUUUAUUAAAAUUAUCCCCGCCUUAAAGGAAGUAUCAUGAUUACCAAAUAGUAAUUGAGAACAGUUCCACAUGAGAAGAGAGACAGUCUCAGCAAUCAACAAUUCACCAAAGCUGAUAUGCCAUUAAGGACGGUUAUGGACACAUGUUUCUAGCUCAAUAAUCGUCAUCAGUGGUCAGAGGGCAUAGACAUAUGCAAAAAGAGUAGAACACAUUUAUGGCCUAGGUAAUUUGCAUAAUUAAAAAAAAAAUCGGGUCUAAGAAAUAUAUCUGAGUAGCCUUUGAAGAACAUUGAAAAAUACAGGUAUAUCAAAUACUAUACAACAUAAAUUCUUGAUUUAUUAAAACUAUCUUCGUCUCUAGAGGAUGUCAGAAUUACCAAAAGGCAAGCUCCACUUGAGAAGAGGAGAAAAUACCAAGAAUCAAGGUUUCUCUAAAAGCUGACAUACAAUUAAGGAAAAAAGGACAGACCUGUUUUUUGGAAAUC